rnacentral:rRNA from 1 species
UAGGGAAUCUUCCACAAUGGACGCAAGUCUGAUGGAGCAACGCCGCGUGAGUGAAGAAGGUUUUCGGACCGUAAAGCUCUGUUGUUGGUGAAGAAGGAUAGAGGUAGUAACUGGCCUUUAUUUGACGGUAAUCAACCAGAAAGUCACGGCUAACUACGUGCCAGCAGCCGCGGUAAUACGUAGGUGGCAAGCGUUGUCCGGAUUUAUUGGGCGUAAAGCGAGCGCAGGCGGAAGAAUAAGUCUGAUGUGAAAGCCCUCGGCUUAACCGAGGAAUUGCAUCGGAAACUGUUUUUCUU